AGUUGCAGAUGAAAGUUCAGCUGGUAAACGCAGCUUUCAGCUUAACUCAUUUCAACAGGAACGAUUUUCGAUCGGUUUGAAGACAGUCUUGUUUGAAGCAAACUCCUUUAUAAAAAUAAAUCAACAAAAGUCAGCGUUAUCUUUUCUUCAUGUGUAAAUUACAAUUUAUUUUUUUUCUGAACGAUCCUACGCGCUUGAUAUAAAGAUGAAGACCGUCGCAAUUUUUCUUGUUGUAGUUGUGCUGGUUAGCCUGGAAAUUUCCCCAAUUGACUGUCAGAGAUUGAUGAUCAGUUCACCGGUACAGGGGAGAUAUACCACACAUGCACCAUCUGUAUGGAAACGGAAAAAGCGGAAUGUCGAAAAUGAUGAAAAUUCGCAGACUGAAGAAAGAGAGAAGGAUUUAUUUUGACACGGGUAUAAUGAAGUAUGAAAGAUCCAUCGGAUUCACAAUGCCAUGGCGGGAUUUUAAAUAAAUGAAUAUAGAUGGAAAAAUAAAGCGUAAUAUUGUUUGGUUUA